AGCACCUUCGGGUGUGAAUUAGCGGCGAACGGGUGAGGAACACGUGAAGAAUCUGCCUUCAACUCUGGGAUAACUCCGGGAAACCGGGGCUAAUACCGGAUAUGAGCCUUGAUCGCAUGAUCGGGGCUGGAAAGUUUUUCGGUUGAAGAUGACUUCGCGGCCUAUCAGCUUGUUGGUGAGGUAAUGGCUCACCAAGGCGACGACGGGUAGCCGGCCUGAGAGGGCGACCGGCCACACUGGGACUGAGACACGGCCCAGACUCCUACGGGAGGCAGCAGUGGGGAAUAUUGGGCAAUGGAGGAAACUCUGACCCAGCGACGCCGCGUGAGGGAUGAAGGCCUUCGGGUUGUAAACCUCUUUCAGUAGGGAAGAAGCGAAAGUGACGGUACCUACAGAAGAAGCACCGGCUAACUAUGUGCCAGCAGCCGCGGUAAUACAUAGGGUGCAAGCGUUGUCCGGAAUUAUUGGGCGUAAAGAGCUCGUAGGUGGUUCGAUACGUCGGAUGUGAAAAUCAGGGGCUCAACCCCUGACCUGCAUCCGAUACGGUCGAGCUAGAGUUUGGUAGGGGAGACUGGAAUUCCUGGUGUAGCGGUGGAAUGCGCAGAUAUCAGGAGGAACACCGAUGGCGAAGGCAGGUCUCUGGGCCAAUACUGACACUGAGGAGCGAAAGCGUGGGGAGCGAACAGGAUUAGAUACCCUGGUAGUCCACGCCGUAA
rnacentral:rRNA from 1 species